rnacentral:lncRNA from 1 species
UGCUCUUGCUCUGGCUCAAUUAGAAGGUUAGGUGUGACAAAAAAACUGAAACUUUAUCUCCUAAUAUCCCUCCAUUUUUGCAAAAUCAAAUUUGUGUCAGCUAUGUGACCAAUGAUCAUACACUUGUUUCAAAUAAUCAUACACUUAUCAAUUUCCACGGACAAGUUAAUGGUGUAUACCUGCUUCUGAGCUGCCAUGCAAAGACUCUGUUAUCUCUUGAACUUAUCCACUGCCAACUUUAUCCUGCGGUCAUGGAUAAAGUUUGCAUUAGUCUUUGCCAGCCAGGUUCCCAAAACUACAAGUUCCAGUCCUUUUAUUCUGCCUUGGUCAUAAUGUUAAUUUUUCUUCCAUAUGUUAAUUUUUUUGUCGUAUGUAGGCCAUCAGAUAACUUGUGUAUGUUCAUCUAGCUGCAAAAGAAACUUAUGACUUCUGUCGUCAGUAAAAAAAUAGUAGACCAGUUUACAGUUGAAAGGACCAGGCACGACCAUUUACUUGACGUGUUAUACUCUCAAUGAAUCUUAAUUAUUUCUGAUAUGUUUCAGUUAUUUUAUUUCAACAGAAGACAAGACUAAUCUGUUAUACUCUCAAUGAAUCUUAAUUAUUUCUGAUAUGUUUCAGUUAUUUUAUUUCAACAGAAGACAAGACUAAUCUGUCAUUGAUAGUGUUUUUGCAGCUAGCACUAAAAGCUGGUGUGUUUUAUGAUAGAGUGACAAAUAUGACUAUUUUGGGAAACCAUUCAACAACUCAGGUGAAUAUAUGAUUACAAACAUGGCUACUCUGCUGGCAGUGCUUUGGAGUAUUGAUUUGAUGAUUUCCACUUGAGUAGGUUCCUAAUUUCUUGAAUGCCAAAAUUGAUGAGAGGCCAGUAAAAGAAGUCAUCAAAGAUACAAAGUGGCUAGAAAAGGAUUUUUCUACAACUGUUCAAAAGGUACACAAUUCCUGAUUGAUUGGGACAACUAAGAGAAUAUUGUGUACUGAUUGAUUGAUUGAUUUCAUGAAAUAUUGUGUAUUGGCUUGAGGUCAUGCAGCUGCUCUCGUUGCUUACGCAGGUACACGGAGAAGGUGAUGGUGCCGCUGAGGCUGUUGCUCCCGAUGUUAGAGAGGGUGUCGCUGACCGAUGCCGCCGGCUUGCCCGAGGUGGCCUGCACGUCUUCAUGACCAGCCAUCUCCCCAGUUGAGUCCCUUCCCUUUAAGAAAAUCUCUCUGGCUAAUUUGUUCGUUAGGAUUGCAGAAUGUGAAUCUUCCUUAGUCAUCACCAAAUUGACAUGCUCUGACUAACUGAAAAAUAACAAAGUAUUGAAUGGUGCUACUCUAAUGGAGUAUGAAAUGAUUUAGUAAUCACUUCUAUGCAAAAAUAGGUUCACAAUUUGGUGUUGUGAGAAUUGAACUGGAACAGAAUUUUCAUGCCUUUGUUUUUUCUUGUCGACCUAUCUCCAGUCGUAUGCAGAUUCACAGUGGAUCAAGCAGAAUUGGCACAUUUGCUAUACAGAUUGCGAAGCGCCUUGGAAUCAAGGUUUUUUUCACUGCAGGUUUAUUGGUUCAGAUAAAUACAAUAUAUAUGGUACAAAGAUGUUUUCCGAAAGAAAAUCUGUUAUGCCGCUCGAGAAAUCUAAAGAGAAACUAGUCGCUUGCGACGUUUAAGGUGUGGAUAUAUGCAAAAACUACAAAACCUUUGUAGCACGUAUCGAAGAAGAAACUAAUGGAAAUGGUAUUAUCGUGCCAUCCUCUUGUGACACUUGAUGCCCUGAUGCAAAAGUAAAUAAAAUUAUUUGGCUUUACCAAGUUAUACCCGUCAAUUUCAUAUACAUUCUGACUGUAAUAUGUGGAAUAUCUCUACCAGACCUUGAUGUCAUUCUGGACAACGUAGGCAGAUCUUAUCUCCAAGGCAAUCUGGAUAGCUUAGCAGUUGAUGGUAUACUUUUCAUCAUUGGUUUCAUGUGAGGCAUUGUAAUUGUAGUGAACCUGCGUUGUAGUUGAAGACCGACUGUACAAGGUUAUAUCGAUCUAUCUAUAUACAACCAUGCCUCUUUCACUUUUAUGUGUUUUUUUCCUGAUAACACAUCUUACUCUCUGAACACAAUUCUCAUAGGACUGUUGAUGCUUUUCUGUUGUUAGAAUUUCAUGCUUUCUUUGUCGGCAACUGAUGAUGCAGUGCUAUGAUGUAGCUUUGUGUCUUCUAAAUUAUUUUUUACUCUCAAAUAAUUUACUAGACAACGGAAGAGCUAAAUGCGUACUUUUGUGUAGACUUACCUCCAUUCAGAGAGAUGCUGCAACUGGUGAUACAUCUGUGCGAAGCCAGAUCCAGAAUGAGUCGACAGAGUUGGGAGUAGCAAUACAACAUCUGGGGGCUAUGCUUUUUGAGCUUGGAUGGACAAUGAUGAUGCUUAGAAUGGGGCCAUCUCCUGUAUGCAUUUUUAUACUAUGUCACUAUCACACAAGUGAUUCACAAGGUUUAAGUAUUUUGAUAGCUUUUUUAUUUUGAAGGCUAAUGCUUUUGUAAAUGUUGGGCAUGCUGUUUAUACAAACCCCACUGGACCAAGUCCAAUCAUGGUUCAGGCUACCUGUAUAGCUUUGCUUUCCUAUCAUGAACAACCGACGACUUUGUUUUGGGCUAUCAUGCUAGCAUGCCCUGUAACAUAUAUCACUAUGUAUUAACAUGCUACCUAAGUAUCUAUUUCUUUAUACUUUAAGGAUCUUAUUAUCAGUCCUUAAACAAAUCUUACGUGCAUGAUUUGAAUGCUUGGUUUGCUGUCGCCCUUUGCACCAUCGGCGCAACGGGUGGUUAGCUGCUUUUUUAUGUGUGAGAAUGUGAGGAAUGUUUCUAUAUGUGCCCACAUUUAUUUGGUGUGCCUGCUAUGUUUCACUUUCACUCUCUUUGUUGAAUAAAUUGAGAAAUUCUUGAUUCUUUUCAUCUUAUUUCUUUACAUGAAGGAUCCAGAUUAAAAUCUAAUGUGUUAUUAUUGUUGGCUUAGUUUACACAAAUGCAUUUUAGAUCACCUACUUCUCAGUUCAUGCAUUUUGGAUCCAGAGCCUCCGUUAGGUUUUUGGAUGUGCUCUCUUAGGUACAUUUUCUUUUCUCUUUCUUUCCUUCCUCUUGGACUGUUAUUCUCUGUCUGUAUAUAUUUGCUUCGAUUGAAAUAAAGGACCAUGGGGCUUUUGCUCCACGGUGGAUAGUGGAAAAAAAGUAAUAGGUAUUUGAUUUAAACUGCUUGAAGUUAACAAGGACCAAGUAACAUACUAUGUGCUUGCUCUGUUUGGUCGUGGCAUAUGAAUCUGAUUGGAUCAUCGCAGUUGAAUAAUUAGAAACCUUGGGAAGGACUAUGAUGUGUGUUUCUGUUUUAGUUAUAGAGACUUGGUCUCGUGUGAUGCCUCAUAAGGUCGAGGCAUGUGUUACAGAGGCUAGGAAGAUCAUUUUGCUGUUGUUUAUUAGAUUUUUUGGAUAAUGCAAAAACACCUAUGUACUAAUAACCUAUAUACUGAUGUUAUACUAACAAUAGUUUCCUUCUUUUCCAUUGCAGUAAGUAGAAGUUAUAUUUUUUUCCUGACUAUUCCUUUCUUUUCCUAGGCCAACGAUUUGCUUUCUGCUCGGAUUACACUGCCUGCAGCCUCCUAAUUGUAGACUCAACUAUCUUGACCUAUCGAUGAUCUAAUUUGUGGCAUUAUUACCUUAAGAAAAUAUUUGCAUUUAAUUUUCUGUAUAUACAGGGGUAUAAGUUCUUACCAAAUGUACUUAAAUAUACAGUUAUUGAAAAAAUGCAAAUAUUUUCAACACGAACAUGCUUUUAAACGGGUCUUUGCGCCAUUUGGCGCAACUGGUCAUCUAGUAUUUCGAAAAAAAACCCAGAGGAUGAGCGCGAUUUAGCUAAAAAGCGCACGUGCGGGAUUUGGCGGGCGCUCACCAUGUUGGCUCGGCCCAUGACGAGGAAGCAGGCUGAGGGAGGCCCGAUGCGGACGGGUGGGUCUGCUGGGCCGCGGGCGAGGCCCACCUGGCGGCACGGUCAACGACGCAGAGGGUUGAGUGGGGCGUGCUCCUCCUCGAAGCAGGACAACGGCGGCGUCCGGCGAGGGCGACACGACGCUGGCAACGGGGAGAGGUCGGCGGGUUCGGGAGCAGGCGGAUCUGGCCACGGGAGGUCGGCGGGGCUCCGUUCUCGGCCGGAUCCAACCAGAGGCGGAGACGGGCAUCCAUGGCGGCGCGGUCGGGGAAGACCAAGGCGGUGGCGGCGGUUCCCUGCGAGGACGGGAGGAAGCAAGACCUUGAGUGAGAGGGAGAUGGAAGGCGAGGCAGAGGAGGGAAGGAGGAGCAGGGGCGACCGAGCACCCAUCUACGGCGAGUUCCGGUCACUGGCGGCGGGGCUCUGGAUCGGGAGCUCCUCUCCCGAUCUGGAACUCGGGAGCGAGGCAUCAUGCGGGCAGCGACGCGGUCGGGCCCCGAUGGGCUUGCACGGGCCGCGGCGAAGGGAGAGGCAGGGAGGCCACGUGGCAGCACCCGGUUGGAGGAGGGCGGCGGCUGCGGCGUUGCUGGCCGCUCAGGCAGCACCAAGUGUCAGAGGCGGGGUGGAUCGGCGUGGAUUCCGAGGAGGAAGGCGUAUGGAGGUUAGGGGGAACUAGGGUUAGGCUAGGGAC